rnacentral:rRNA from 1 species
AUUGAACGCUGGCGGCAUGCUUUACACAUGCAAGUCGAACGGCAGCGCGGGGCAACCUGGCGGCGAGUGGCGAACGGGUGAGUAAUAUAUCGGAACGUACCCAGAAGUGGGGAUAACGUAGCGAAAGUUACGCUAAUACCGCAUACGAUCUACGGAUGAAAGUAGGGGACCGCAAGGCCUUAUGCUUUUGGAGCGGCCGAUAUCUGAUUAGCUAGUUGGUGAGGUAAAGGCUCACCAAGGCGACGAUCAGUAGCUGGUCUGAGAGGACGACCAGCCACACUGGAACUGAGACACGGUCCAGACUCCUACGGGAGGCAGCAGUGGGGAAUUUUGGACAAUGGGCGCAAGCCUGAUCCAGCAAUGCCGCGUGAGUGAAGAAGGCCUUCGGGUUGUAAAGCUCUUUUGUCAGGGAAGAAACGGUAGAGGCUAAUAUCCUUUGCUAAUGACGGUACCUGAAGAAUAAGCACCGGCUAACUACGUG